rnacentral:rRNA from 1 species
CGUGGGUAACCUGCCCAAGAGACUGGGAUAACACCUGGAAACAGAUGCUAAUACCGGAUAACAACACUAGACGCAUGUCUAGAGUUUAAAAGAUGGUUCUGCUAUCACUCUUGGAUGGACCUGCGGCGCAUUAGCUAGUUGGUAAGGUAACGGCUUACCAAGGCAAUGAUGCAUAGCCGAGUUGAGAGACUGAUCGGCCACAUUGGGACUGAGACACGGCCCAAACUCCUACGGGAGGCAGCAGCG